UACGGAGGUGCAAGCGUUAUCCGGAUUCACUGGUUAAGGUGCGUAGGUGGCAGGUAAGUCAGUGGUGAAUCUCUGGCUUAACAGAACUGCCGUUGAUACUAUCUGUCUUGAAUGUAGUGAGUGAGCGGAAUAUGUCAUGUAGCGUGAAUGCUAGAUAUGACAUAGACACAUGCGAGCAGCUCGCUACACUACUAUGACACUGACACGAGCGAUGAGCAACAGAUAGACCAGUACGUCAGACAGUCUCUGCUACGU
rnacentral:rRNA from 1 species